GCUAGACGGAAAGACCCCGUGAACCUUUACUGUAGCUUUGCACUGGACUUUGAGCCUGCUUGUGUAGGAUAGGUGGGAGGCUUUGAAGCGUGGACGCCAGUUCGCGUGGAGCCAUCCUUGAAAUACCACCCUGGCAUGCUUGAGGUUCUAACUCUGGUCCGUGAUCCGGAUCGAGGACAGUGUAUGGUGGGCAGUUUGACUGGGGCGGUCUCCUCCUAAAGAGUAACGGAGGAGUACGAAGGUGCGCUCAGACCGGUCGGAAAUCGGUCGUAGAGUAUAAAGGCAAAAGCGCGCUUGACUGCGAGACAGACACGUCGAGCAGGUACGAAAGUAGGUCUUAGUGAUCCGGUGGUUCUGUAUGGAAGGGCCAUCGCUCAACGGAUAAAAGGUACUCCGGGGAUAACAGGCUGAUACCGCCCAAGAGUUCAUAUCG
rnacentral:rRNA from 1 species